GACGAACGCUGGCGGCGUGCUUAACACAUGCAAGUCGAACGGAAAGGCCCUGCUUUUGUGGGGUGCUCGAGUGGCGAACGGGUGAUUCACACGUGAGUAACCUGCCCUUGACUUUGGGAUAACUUCAGGAAACUGGGGCUAAUACCGGAUAGGAGCUCCUGCUGCAUGGUGGGGGUUGGAAAGUUUCGGCGGUUGGGGAUGGACUCGCGGCUUAUCAGCUUGUUGGUGGGGUAGUGGCUUACCAAGGCGUUGACGGGUAGCCGGCCUGAGAGGGUGACCGGCCACAUUGGGACUGAGAUACGGCCCAGACUCCUACGGGAGGCAGCAGUGGGGAAUAUUGCACAAUGGGCGGAAGCCUGAUGCAGCAACGCCGCGUGCGGGAUGACGGCCUUCGGGUUGUAAACCGCUUUCGCCUGUGACGAAGCGUGAGUGACGGUAAUGGGUAAAGAAGCACCGGCUAACUACGUG
rnacentral:rRNA from 1 species